AGGGUAGAAAACUAUGAAGAAGACUUAAAUAGAUUCAACUUUUCCCUUUAUUCAAUAUUUACGACCACCAUAUUCAAGCUGAGUAAAAAACUAUAGCCUAAGGUUGAAAAAUGUGAGAAUCAAUGUCUCUAAUUGUUGCCCAGAAUGAGUCUGUUUUGUUUAAGGUUGUGCUUAAGGGCAGACAUAAUUGGGGAUACUUAUGUGAGGGUAAGGUCUUUCGAAACCCAGUAGAUGGAAGGCCAUGCUUGUAACUCCACAACUG
rnacentral:lncRNA from 1 species